CCUCCUGCAAGCUCCUCUAGGAUUUAAAGCUUUUAUUGUUGACUUUCCUAACAGGCUGUGAUGAGAGGAAACACCUGAUGGCCAGGCCUCAUCAGGGAUGUGGGAGUGUCCAGUUCAAGCUGGAGAGGAGAGGGCCCUGAGAUAAUGCACUCCUGAUAUCACCGAGAUGGGAGAGACAAGCGAGGAGCAAGAGAUCAAAGCAAGGAGAAGAAAGAGAAGAUGCUAAAGGCAGGAGAAGAAAGAGGGGAAGAUGCCAAACACCUCCUUGAUGUACCUACUUUACAUACCCGGUACCGAGUUUCAGAAACCCUUCCUGUAGUUUGAGAUCCCUUUCCUGCAGUGUUUAUAAGGAAAUCUUGAAACCUAAGAAUAGCCAAGGAUAACAACACUGAAUAUGGAGAUGGAGGAAACGUGAACACAACAGCAGCUGUCCUUUGAAAUGGGAUGUGUAAGAUAAAGGCAAAUGCAACAUUAAUGCAGCAUUCCUGCCAGAAAACCAGCAGUCACUCCUGCAUUUCAUUUCCCUGGUUUAUUUAAAAAUACUUUUGGAAGCACUGCUGUUGGUGAAUGCUUUCUUUGAUUGAAUUUCUUAUUCCCUUGCACUGGUUUAUCCCCAAGAGAAGGAAUUGUGGACCUGGAACUCCUCUAACCCACUGUGGCUAUAAAUAAUUCCAGAUACCCCUUGAUUUGCUCCAGAAAUGAAGCGUGUUUGUGCUUUGAGU
rnacentral:lncRNA from 1 species